UACGUAGGGUGCAAGCGUUGUCCGGAAUUAUUGGGCGUAAAGAGCUCGUAGGCGGUUUGUCGCGUCUGCUGUGAAAACUCGGGGCUCAACUCCGAGCUUGCAGUGGGUACGGGCAGACUAGAGUGCGGUAGGGGAGACUGGAAUUCCUGGUGUAGCGGUGGAAUGCGCAGAUAUCCGGAGGAACACCGGUGGCGAAGGCGGCUUCCUGGACCGACACUGACGCUGAGGCGCGAAAGCUAGGGGAGCAAACGGG
rnacentral:rRNA from 1 species